rnacentral:rRNA from 1 species
UACGAAGGGGGCUAGCGUUGCUCGGAAUGACUGGGCGUAAAGGGCGCGUAGGCGGUCAGCACAAGUCAGUUGUGAAAUCUCCGGGCUUAACUCGGAAAGGUCAACUGAUACUGUGCGACUAGAGUGCAGAAGGGGCAACUGGAAUUCUCGGUGUAGCGGUGAAAUGCGUAGAUAUCGAGAGGAACACCAGUGGCGAAGGCGGUGCUCUGGGCCGGAACUGACGCUGAGGAGCGAAAGCGUGGGGAGCAAACAGG